AAAACGGAAAUAAAGAAACGUGCCGUGUCUUCGAAUUAAACUAUAAUUUUCUCUGGAUUUGAAAGUUCGUGGAAACUGUCGGGAUGAUGGGUCACAUAAUAUGCUGCCAGAUCUUAGCCUGAUUUGGGCCACAUAUCACUGGACUGAUCUGGGCCACACUCCUCCCAUCAACAAUCGGCCCUCAUGUUGUUUGCCAGAUCCCAGCCGUGCCAUCAAUGCCACACAUGGCCCAGCUCUGGCUGAAAGGGUACAUGCCAUUGCCAACAGGAGACCAGCAGUGCCACCUUGAGGCCACAUGUGGGAAACAUAAUUUAGCAAUGUCCAGAUGAUCUAUAGCAAAAGCCAUCUCCAGCACCAGCAGCAGAGACUGUUUAAGCUUUGUUCUUAUUUUUAUCACACAUGAACACAUAGAGAAUGGGGUUCAGACAGUUGUCACAGUCUUCAGCUGGUGUGCCCAGGAUGGCCACCAAAUGACAUGUCUUUCUGUGAGCACAUGGCUUGUGUUGUGUUUGUUUGGUGUCAUGUGCUCGCUCCUGUCUUUUGUCUGACCCCGCCCAUCUUGUUACCUCAUUAUUGUUUUACGGUAGUUGCUCCAUCUGUGUUUCUUUCUUUCUUCUAGAAUCCAUUCUUCUAACUCCACUCACUUGUUCUCUCGUUACCUAAUUCAUUAAUUACUUUAUCCCAGCUGUUCACCUGAUAGCCUCUUCUUUAUAAACUCCCUGCGUUUUCUUUUCUGGGCUCAUAUGUUUCACGUUUGUAUUGUUUUGUGCCUUUGAUGGCUGUAUGCACUGUGCUCAGUUUUGUUUCAUUGUUGAGGUUACUCUGGUAUUUUCCCUCUUCGGGGUGGUUUCAGUUGUGUUUUUGUUUAUUUUGGUGAGUUAUAAAGACUCCUCCUCUGCCUGCACUUGAGUCUUUGCCUCUUAUGAGCUGUGACAGAACCAGGCAUAUACUGACAAUCAUUGCCAUCUUGUAUACUUUGGUACUCCUGCCAUUUACUAUGCUUUUAAAACAAAUCUGGCAAACAUGGUUUAGAAACCAACAUGUGAAAAAAGACCAAAUCGCAAUUUGUGAAGAUACAAUGAUCAGAAAGGGGAUGAGAAAGCCCACUGUAAAUUCAUAUCUUGUCAGAAAUGUAAAAGUAAACAUACAUAGAAAGGAAUGCUGUAGCCAAUGGAUGAAACCCACACAAUUAUGCAGAUGAUCUUGGCUUUAAAGGGGGGUGAAAUGCUCGU